rnacentral:rRNA from 1 species
UGCUCCNUCGAGCGUUUCUAGCUAUGUAGAGACGCGGCNNACGGCUCAGUAACACGUGGCUAACCUACCCUCAGGACGAGGACAACCCCGGGAAACUGGGACUAAUACUCGAUAGGCGAGGAUGUCUGGAAUGGCUUCUCACCUAAAGGCCUUGGAAACAUGCUUCCAAGUCGCCUGAGGAUGGGGCCGCGUCCGAUCAGGUUGUUGGUGAGGUAAUGGCUCACCAAGCCUAUAACCGGUACGGGCCGUGAGAGCGGUAGCCCGGAGAUGGGUACUGAGACAAGGACCCAGGCCCUACGGGGCGCAGCAGUCGCGAAAACUCCGCAAUGCACGCAAGUGUGACGGGGCUACCCCGAGUGCCAACCGCUGAGGAUGGCUUUUCCUUGGUAUAACUAGCCAGGGGAAUAAGGAGAGGGCANGACUGGUGUCAGCCGCCGCGGUAAUACCAGCUCUCCGAGUGGUAGGGAUGAUUAUU